UACGGAGGGUGCAAGCGUUAUCCGGAUUCACUGGGUUUAAAGGGCGCGUAGGCGGCCUGCUAAGUCGAACGUGAAAUCCCUGGGCUCAACCCAGGAACUGCGUCCGAUACUGGUUGGCUUGAAUCCGGGAGAGGGAUGUGGAAUUCCAGGUGUAGCGGUGAAAUGCGUAGAUAUCUGGAGGAACACCGGUGGCGAAGGCGACAUCCUGGACCGGUAUUGACGCUGAGGCGCGAAAGCCAGGGGAGCAAACGGG
rnacentral:rRNA from 1 species